AUCCAGACUCCUACGGGAGGCAGCAGUGGGGGAUAUUGCACAAUGGGGGAACCCUGAUGCAGCGACGCCGCGUGGGUGAAGGAGCACCUCGGUGCGUAAAGCCCUAUCGGCAGGGAAGAAACAGACGGUACCUGACUAAGAAGCCCCGGCUAACUACGUGCCAGCAGCCGCGGUAAUACGUAGGGGGCAAGCGUUAUCCGGAUUCACUGGGUGUAAAGGGAGCGUAGACGGCGACGCAAGUCUGGAGUGAAAGCCCGGGGCCCAACCCCGGGACUGCCCUUGGAACUGCAUGGCUGGAGUGCGGGAGGGGCAGGCGGAAUUCCUGGUGUAGCGGUGAAAUGCGUAGAUAUCAGGAGGAACACCGGCGGCGAAGGCGGCCUGCUGGACCGCGACUGACGUUGAGGCUCGAAAGCGUGGGGAGCGAACAGGAUUAGAUACCCGAGUA
rnacentral:rRNA from 1 species